GCGGCGUGGUUAUGGGCGGUGGCGACGGGCCCCUUUUCCUAGUCCCCUCCCUCUGGUCCCACGGGGGCCUCAUCGUCGACUACAUCCACUGCCUCUCUCUCUGCUGGAGGAAGGAAAGGAUCUGGCCUGGGGGAUCAUCUUGCCCGUCCCUAUCUGCUUCUUUCACCACUUCUUUGUGCACCUUCUCAGGCAUCACUGCAGACGCGGGCCGUGGGAGGCGUCAAGGAGAUUUCUGACCAUGGGCAUCGCAGUGAGUACCGUAUCGCCGCGGCGUUCGGUCCAUUCUUGUUCUAUGAGCAGAUGCAACAGGUACAUAGUUGUUUAUUUCCAUUUGGCAGGGGUUAUGCAUGCCGACUGGGCUUCACAUUUUGGGUACCUUGCAUAGUUCUUGACAAAGCCCUUGCUUUUGUGCUUGCAAAGCUGGAACUAGAUGUUCCUGCUCCUAAAGCGUCUUCCUGUUGGGCUGGUUGGCAAUUGCUCCCGGUUUGCUCUGCUUCUACCAGGACUACUAUAUGUUGUUGCUUCCAAAAGUGAUUAUUCAGCUAGGAUCUGUCAUCUUCAAGCUUCUGAAUUGAUGUGUCACCCUGUUGAUAACCUUCUUCCAGAAGCCCCAGCCAAAGCACAUAAUUAGAUGGGUGACAUAUGCCUUUACCCACACAUCACUUCAUUUUAAAACCCCACUUCCUAUAAUUUAAAUAAAUAGCUUGAAUGAUGCGAGACAUUGUCUCGUGCUGUUAAUAGGUAUGCUACAAAACAUGCUUAGAUAUCUUCCAUUUGCUUACUCUUGGAGGUUGAUAUCUUUAUUUAUUUUUGUGCAGACAGCAAACUGCCACUUAUAUGGUCCUUGGAUUUGUGGCCUCUUCAAUUCAGAUUACAAAACUCUGUAUUAUUGAUGUGCGUGUAGUAACUCAAAUCACACCAUUAUUGGAAGCUUAUUUUCAUUGAUUUGCUAGUGCUUCUCAGCCUUCUCUGCAAUAGAUGCUUUUGAGAUGUCUUUAUAACAUUUAUAAAUUUUUCUGAGCUGUGAAGAACGUUCUGCUGGUUCAUCUAGGAUCUUACAAUGAGUGUUCAAUUCUUGGCAUACGAGUAAUAUGUGGUUACUAUUUCCUCUUGCUGCAGUAUCCUGUUACUCCAUGUUUUCUCUGCUAUUUGAGCCCCAGGUAUUACUAAUUAAAGUACUGCUGAUGGGUCAUACACUCCAUUCUCAUGUGAAUAGGCUUUUCCGGAUAUUUCAAGAUAUGGUCUGCUCCUCAAGGAAACCAAACAGAAUGCUUCAAGUGCUUCAGAUGUAAAACAAUGAUUUAUCAGACAAUUUGGAACACUUUACCCUCUGGGAUUGUUGGUGAAGUUUCGCGGUCAGCUACUGCACCCAUAUAUUCUACAGGCUCUGGUUCCUGAGUUUCAUGUUGAUUUCCAUAUAUUGUGCUGUUGGGAUGAUGUAGUCCUGGGCAUGGCAGCUCAGGCAGACAUAUAAAUAUUCAAGUCCAGUUGUUAACUUGAUGAUAUCCUUUUUUGAACAGCUUCAAGUUUCCAAUGAUAUUAGUUACUGAGGAAUUUUGUUUAAAAGCUAUCAUACAUUUUGGCUAUCAAUUUGACAUCCUGCUAAUUGUAUGUCUUGGACCACAACAUUACCUGUAUCCAUUAUCCUAACUGGGUGGUACCUAGAAGAAUCCAAGAAACAAAAAGAGGUUUCCAGCAUCACCAGCAAACUUCAGUUCAUGCCUCAUGUGCUGCAUUUGAACAAAUAAAUUUAAGUUUGAGAGACAAUAUCAGUGAAGUAAAUUAUGAAAAGGAAAUAAUAAUAAAUGUUCAUCAACUACGAGUUAUGAGGUUAUUUUGUUCCUCAUUCACCCCAGAUAUUUCCUUGAUAUGCUUUACUCUUAUAGUUCCUGCAAUUGUUUUUUGGUUAGAAGUCUACAUUUAGUGCUAGUGGCAGAACUUUGUGCCCGUUUCAAUCUAGUCCAAAAGAGUUUAGGUGUGCAGGGGACAAUCCACAGCACCAACUUUGGUCAAAGUUUUGUAUAGAUCAGAAUGAAUUGCUUCUUAAGUAUGGGGUGGGAAUUGGAAUGAUGUCAGUGGCCAUGGAAUAUUUUGGCACCAAACAAGAGCCUUGAGAUGCUAAUCAUGGAGUCAGAAUGUUUAAUCAUCACUAUUUUUAUGGCCAGAGUCAACAGCAUUACACCAAGAUGGGCAACAGCACUGUUGUUAUCUCAACAACUGAAUCAAAUGUUGAAGCCACUCAUUGUUCAAUAUUCUGCAAUAACACUGGCCUCAGAACCAGCUUGAGACAAUCUCAUGGGUUGAAAUUUGAGCCAACCAUUCCAGUAGGAAAAAAAGAAUAGUUAUCUUCUUUUUCCAGGCAGAGCAUGCUUCCUCACUCAGUUCUUGUGUUCUUUUUUAUCUGCAGAAAAAAGCUUUAGAAGUACAGCAAGAGCAAUCAUUUGAUUGAGCCAUCAUAUGAAAUUUUGUUGUUCCCUUCAUUAUGAGGCUAUGGAAGAAACUCAAAAAAGAAAUGAGAGCAAGUAUCCACUAGUGAAGAGAGCAUCAUGACAAUGUAUUUGGAGGGAAGAGCUUGUGUGCCCCAUUUACCACAUUACAAGUAGUGUGGAGAGGCAGAAGCCUUGUUGGAGCAGUAAAGAAGCAGAUUAAAGGGCAGACAUGAGAACUCUAUGUAUCAUUAUUCUAACCACACUCCUCCACCGACAGUCCCAAAGAGAACAAAAAGGCUGCUUCUAUCACCUGUGGACUAAUGAUGACAUCCAUUUUGUUAAACCAGGCAUGUUUGCAGACCAAGCAAGGGCAUCCUACUUUCUUCUCAGUUCUCAUGUUGCAUACAUACUUGGAUAAGAAUUAGGAUGCAGAUGCAUUAUAGACCAUCAGAGGAAUAUUUCAGUAGCAAUGUCAGAUGACAACCACAAUGAGAACACCCACAUUUUGUUGGGGAAGAGUGAGGGGGGAUAGACUAUGGUGGAUUUAAUCUUUAGUCCAGAAACAACACUAUGAACAUGGCAAGAACUAAAAGGACGAAUGUUUGAAUUGCCUUUCUUUUUUGCUGCUCAGCAUCUGUUUCCCUUGCUUGAUCCAUGUGAGAUGUGGGUGGUGGUUGAACCUACCACGAUCAACAUUUAUGCAAAUCACAGAGCUUAAAUAUGUGGAGUACCUCUUGGUCUCACUGGAAGACCUUCAUGUGCUCUGAGAAAGAUGAGAUCUUUAAUUGUGAUGUGAUGUGAUGUUCUUCACACUAGGUAACUUCUAAAGAGACUUCAAUUGAAUCUGCAAGGAAUACAGAGUUAGACAUGAUUCAGAUGGGGCCUCAACAUAGUUUGUACCAAUUGCACGAGUACUUGAUUAAGCCUCUGCUCAAUGCUCAUAAUUCAGUGCCAAAGGAUUCAUAUACAUGUUGACAUCCCCUUCAAGCGAGGAGCUUCAAAGGGAAGAAGAAAAUUGUGGACUUUUUAUUAUGUGAUGUGAAUAUUGUUUGUGAUCCAUUGCAAGAUGCAAUGUUGAGUGCCCCACCUACUGCAGCAUACAGUGCUGUUCUUGGUUUAACCAGUAAACUCCUCCAUCAAUCAGAACAGACAUGUCUGCUGCUUUUUCUUCUUGCUUCCAUAAUGGAGUAUACAAACUUAUCAUUCGGAUGAAUUAAUUGUUAGAGGUCCAUCCAACACAAAGUGUCACUGUUCCUGAAACUUUGUGAUCUGCCUAGGAUUCUUUUCACGCUUACUAGUGCUCCUGUCAUGCAAUCAUCUAUCCAGAGUUUGCCACACAAAGCAUACUUGUUUCAUCCAUUGAUUCCUCUUUCAAACACACGAAUUAUACUUGGACUGGUAUUUCCUGCACAAGAAAACAAUUCUGCUCUCAUAAUGCUACUUAAUGCUAGGAGCAGAGCUGAAUGAAUGCCUUCUGUCACUGAUUCAAAUGUACAUCAUGGAGAAUGCUGCAGCAUAUAAUGAGUUCCAGUAAAUAAAACUGAGAUCUAGCAAUGAUCCAUUUCAGGCUUUCCACCAUAGAUUUUGGAGGUCUAUCAACUUUCUGAGUUAAAGGCUCCCUAUAAUGUGAAUCAAUCAACAGAAGCAAACCAACUGAUGGAAGAAAGGGAGAAAUUGCUCAUAUGAGAAAUAGGGUUUUACCUUUUCCAUUCUGCUCAAGGGUUCUCAAAAACAUCUUUUCUUUGUCAUGCUACCUAGGGAAAUAGGGUUUUGAAACCCUAGGGGAUUCCAAAAGUCAUGCAAGUGCUUUUAGAAAGAAAUAAAUCCAUUUGGAAGAUUGCAAAGACUUCAACAGUCAACUUGUAGUUAUUUAAUUCUAUUAUAAAUAUA